CGGCUCCUGAAAAAAAAAGUAUUACCAAUAUCUCAUAGACAAUUGCAUGUUAUCUAGAUAUUUUUAGAAUCUACAGAAAUUUUCGUUUUCGUAUCGCAAUAUGAUUUCGAGCCGUUUUGAGAGGAAACUUGGUAUUUAAUUUGGAAAUUAAAGUUACCCUUUGUUUUUUAGGCAGUCAGAGCAAUGCUAGUUGAUGCUGCCUGGUGCAAUUUUCGUAGCACCCGUUUUCUGGACUGAUUAUAUAUAUGGGUCACGGACAUAAUGAUAGGCGAGAGACUAGUAGGGGCGGGGUAGACACCACGUACUGCUGCCCGACGUCAAAGUUUUAAUGUAAACCGUGAAACGAGUGAGGGCUACGAUUAAAACAAAAUUCUUGUUAUGGAUCUAAUGAUGAAGACACAGGCACAGACGAAGGAGAACGGGCAAGUCGAGCAGGCACGUCGAUCCACGGAGAAACAAGCUCAUCGUCCAGAGGAACAGGUUCGUCACCACCGUACGGCACCCUAAGCGCUUGAAAAACCAUUAGGUUGGACUACUAUACAACGUGGAAAGAAUACAUUUCUGAUUUUGCAUUCUAGAAUGUUCCUUGACCAAAGGGGUAUAAUGAGUCCAGAAUACGCCUGAAAACGGAUGCUACGAAAUUUGCAACAGAUGUCAUGUGGAACAUGGUGUAAUGGUUGCAGCUUAGAAAAGUUGUGUAAAACUAAAACCUGGCGAUUAAAAAUGGUGGCGGAGAAUUUACUGACAGUUUUUCUCUUCCGUUCUACGCCCUUGAUUUGAGAACUGGCAGUAAA